UGUUAUGGAUAGAUUUCUAGUAUUUAUGGCUUGAUAGUAAUGUUAGUAGCAGGAAUAACACAUGUUAGGUAGAAGUCUAAAGGAGAUUAUAGUAUAGUUGUGAGGAAAGUCUUUUCUUUCUAUCUUCAUUUGAUUCUAGAAGAAAUGACCUUAUUAAGCUACCUGCAUUUCUAAUUAAGUGCAGGGCAAUGAUGGGUAUUUGUAUUUAUUGUAUUGAUAAGUCAGCAGACACUUUGUAUUUGGAAAAAGGUGCAAGUCGUUUUGUACAAGCAGUGGGUAAUAUUUCACAAUCAGAAAUAAAUAGUUGGGAGCAUAAACCUUUGCGCGAUAGUCUUCGGGCUCGCCUUCGGUUAUUUAUUAUAAGUUGGGUGUGCUGUAAAUGAAUGUUAUUAACCUUUGGUUAACAAUUUAGCGUAGCAUACUUCGUCACCCUUUGGUUGGCCGUUCGGUUGUUAGCUAUUGAUUGUCUUAUUUUGAUGAAGAAAUGUUAUGUAAGUGUUUUAGUAAGUGCUGUAAACCUUUCUUCGAUGAAUACCGGUUAAUCUUGUGCCAGCAGCAGCGGUAAUGCAAGUGGUGUAAACGUUCUAUAGGUUGAUUAGGUGUAAAGAGUGAUUUGGACAUGAGGUUUAUAUGUGUAGUGAAAAUUUAUUAUCAGUGUCACGGACUCGUCAUUAGAGUAAUUCUAGAUUUGAUGUGGUGUAGGAAUGUUAAUUGUAAUGGUGAAAUCUGUAUAUAAUUGGUAGAAAAUUGAUUUGAUAUUGGUAGCUUAUCUUUGGUAGAUAUUCUAUUCACGAAAGCUUGAGGUGUGACAGGGAUUAGAUACCCCAUUAAUUCAAGUGAUAAAUUAUGGCUUAUUGUAGAUUGGAUCUAUUUUUAACAUGUGAAGGUUCUUAACCUAAGGAGUACGUUUUCAUAAAUGAAACUUAAAUGUUCUGGUGGUGGUUUAGAACAAUAGUGGAAUAGAUGAUUUAAUUCGAUGUUAUGCGAUAAAGCUUAUCACUUAUCAUUUUUAAUACCUAGGUAUAGGUAGAAUUUUAUUCAAGGUAGUGCAUGGCUGUUGGAGGGUAAUGUUUUGUAAUAUCUGGUUCAGUUCAGGAAUAGCCGAUACAUAGAGAGAAAUAAUUAAGUACAUUUUACAGGCUUUUGUCUAACAAGAGUGCUGGUAUUUAAAUGGUGUCUAUUAAAAUAUUAGAUAGAAUAACGUCGAGUCAUUAUGCUCUUUUGUUUGGAGAUAUUCAUCUGUUACAAAGAGAGCUAUAUAGCUACUUUUGAAUGAGUAAAUCAAAUGUUAUCAUCCUAAUUGAAAAUUGAAAUGUUUUUAUAAAGGAGGAAUUAUUAGGAAUCUUUGGUUAGUUACUUAAAGGUGGACAGGAGAUAAACUUUGCACAUACUGCCCGUCAAACAAAAAGCGGAGAUGUAGAUGAGAACAGAAAAAACCACACAAUUGUGAAAUUGGGAUACUAAUUUGUGUUAAGUCGAAACAUGGUUGCUCAUCAGGAAUGAUGAGCUGGAA
rnacentral:rRNA from 1 species